rnacentral:rRNA from 1 species
GUCGGUUAAAUACCGACCUGCAUGAAUGGCGUAACGAGAUGGGAGCUUGUCUCAAAGAGGGAUCCAGUGAAAUUGUAGUGGAGGUGAAAAUUCCUCCUACCCGCGGCAAGACGGAGAGACCCCGUGGACCUUUACUACAGCUUGACACUGCUAUUUGGAUAAGAAUGUGCAGGAUAGGUGGGAGGCUUUGAGUAUAUGACGCCAGUUGUAUAUGAGCCAUUGUUGAGAUACCACUCUUUCUUAUUUGGGUAGCUAACCAGCUUGAGUUAUCCUCAAGUGGGACAAUGUCUGGUGGGUAGUUUGACUGGGGCGGUCGCCUCCCAAAUAAUAACGGAGGCUUACAAAGGUUGGCUCAGAACGGUUGGAAAUCGUUCGUAGAGUAUAAAGGUAUAAGCCAGCUUAACUGCAAGACAUACAAGUCAAGCAGAGACGAAAGUCGGUCUUAGUGAUCCGGUGUUU